rnacentral:rRNA from 1 species
UGAAUACGAGACGCUAAGGCGUCGAAGUAGUGUAUGUCAUACUUCCAAGAAAAGCUUGCACUGUCAUAGAUAAAAAACGCCUGUACCAUAACCGACACAGGUGGGUGGGUAGAGUAUACUAAGGGGCGCGAGAUAACUCUCUCUAAGGAACUCGGCAAAAUAACUCCGUAACUUCGGGAGAAGGAGUGCCUUAUUCGUAAGGUUGCAAUAACAAGAUCCAAGCAACUGUUUAUCAAAAACACAGGUCUCCGCUAAGUCGUAAGACGAUGUAUGGGGGCUGACGCCUGCCCAGUGCCAGAAGGUUAAAGAAGUUGGUUAGCAAUUGCGAAGCUGAUAACUGAAGCCCUGGUGAACGGCGGCCGUAACGAUAACGGUCCUAAGGUAGCGAAAUUCCUUGUCGGGUAAGUUCCGACCCGCACGAAAGGCGUAAUGAUUUGGAUACUGUCUCGGAGAGGGGCUCGGUGAAAUAGACUUGUCUGUGAAGGUGCGGACUACCUGCACCAGGACAGAAAGACCCUAUGAAGCUUUACUGUAACUUGAAAUUGAAAUUGGACUUUAUUCGCGCAGUAUAGGUGGGAGGCGUUGAUUAUAAUCUUGUGGGAUUAUUGGAGCCAUCAGUGAGAUACCACUCUUGUAAUGUUAGAUUUCUAACUUUGAAUCAUUAUCUGGUCAAAGAACAGUUUCAGGGCAGUUUGACUGGGGCGGUCGCCUCCUAAACGGUAACGGAGGCGUACAAAGGUUUCCUCUGAACGGUUAGAAAUCGUAUCUAGAGUGUAAAGGCAUAAGGAAGCUUGACUGUGAGACCUACAAGUCGAGCAGGGACGAAAGUCGGUCUUAGUGAUCUGACGGUACUGAGUGGAAAGGCCGUCACUCAACGGAUAAAAGUUACUCUAGGGAUAACAGGCUGAUCUCCCCCAAGAGUUCACAUCGACGGGGAGGUUUGGCACCCUGAUGUCGGCUCAUCGCAUCCUGGGGCGGUAGUACGUCCCAAGGGUUGGGCUGUUCGCCCAUGAAAGCGGUGCGCGAGCUGGGUUCAGAACGUCGUGAGACAGUUCGGUCCAUAUCCGGUGUAGGCGUUAGAAUAUUGAGAGGAGCCUUCUUUAGUACGAGAGGACCGAGAAGGACAUACCUCUGGUGUACCAGUUAUCGUGCCAACGGUAAACGCUGGGUAGCUAUGUAUGGAGUGGAUAACCGCUGAAAGCAUCUAAGUGGGAAGCCCACCUCAAGAUAAGUAUUCUCC